rnacentral:lncRNA from 1 species
UGAAAAAUUAACCAACUAUCACUUGCCCUGAUUUCAUUAGAACGAUUACGUAUCAUUCUUUGUAUUCAGUAGUACGAAAAUUCAUAAUUUAUAAAGGUUUUUAUUUAUUUUCAGUAGAACAUACACUGUUUUUUUUUUCUGUGGUUUAUUCCCCGUGUCUGUAGACACUGGAUUACUUCUCUUCAUGCUUCCCACUCAAA